rnacentral:misc_RNA from 1 species
AGCAAGCUUCUUACUCCGUGACAGGUGGUAUCAGAGCAUUGGUUUGCUAUUGGGGUGAUAAUGUCUGACCCAAGUGAAGUUAUUCCCGGGGCCGGUGUUGCUCCUGGAGGGGAGGAGCAAGGAGGCGGCAGAAGGAAGGGGAGAGGCAAAUCAAGGGAUCCUGGCCGAGCUAGGGAGGAAUUGGGAGACGUUGAGACUCGUCUUGCCAAAGUCGAACUGCAUCUCAUUGAGGGAGAGCAGAAGUUCGAGGAAAUGGACAACCGCUUGGAGGAGCUCGAUGGAAAGGUAGAUGAGCUUCAGGAUGAGUUGCGGGGUGCCUUGGACUCAGCAGUCGACAAGCUAGCCAGUGAAGGUGAGUCCCUACGCCUU